AUGAGCAGGAGAGAAGGAGGAUCAGAGAGGAGCUGCAGGGGUCUGCUGCCCUGAUGGAGGGGAGAGUGGAGCUGAAGGAGUGAGUAGAAGAGCUUGAGCACAAGUGCAUCCAAGGAGAGACAGGCCGUGCUGUCUGCUGCCCUGAUGGAGGGGAGAGUGGAGCUGAAGGAGUGAGUAGAAGAGCUUGAGCACAAGUGCAUCCAAGGAGAGACAGGCCGUGCUGGCCAGUUAAGUAAAGUGCAUCAGGAAUCCAAAGAGGCGCAACGUCAGCACAGAACCCCAGAAACAGAGCCAUGAGGAAAAGAUGGUGAGAAACGCAGCAAGUGAAGGAGUAAUAGUAGUAAAAAACGCAGCGAGUCAAGCAGGAAUGGU